UUUAAUUCGAAGCAACGCGAAGAACCUUACCUAAGCUUGACAUCCCAAUGACAUCUCCUUAAUCGGAGAGUUCCCUUCGGGGACAUUGGUGACAGGGGGUGCAUGGUUGUCGUCAGCUCGUGUCGUGAGAUGUUGGGUUAAGUCCCGCAACGAGCGCAACCCUUGUCUUUAGUUGCCAUCAUUAAGUUGGGCACUCUAGAGAGACUGCCAGGGAUAACCUGGAG
rnacentral:rRNA from 1 species